rnacentral:rRNA from 2 species
UGAGGAAUAUUGGGCAAUAGGCGCAAGCCUGACCCAGCCAUGCCGCGUGCAGGAUGAAGGCCCUAUGGGUUGUAAACUGCUUUUAUACGGGACGAAUCCCUCGGACGUGUCCGGGGCUGACGGUACCGUAAGAAUAAGCUUCGGCUAACUCCGUGCCAGCAGCCGCGGUAAUACGGAGGAUGCAAGCGUUAUCCGGAUUCAUUGGGUUUAAAGGGUGCGUAGGCGGAACGAUAAGUCAGCGGUGAAAUCCUGCAGCUUAACUGUAGAAUUGCCAUUGAUACUGCCGUUCUUGAAUGCGGUUGAGGCAGGCGGAAUGUGUAUUGUAGCGGUGAAAUGCGUAGAUAUUACACAGAACACCUAUUGCGUAGGCAGCCUGCUAAGCCGUGAUUGACGCUGAGGCACGAAAGCGUGGGGAGCAAACAGG